UACGAAGGGGGCUAGCGUUGCUCGGAAUCACUGGGCGUAAAGCGCACGUAGGCGGAUUGUUAAGUCAGGGGUGAAAUCCUGGAGCUCAACUCCAGAACUGCCUUUGAUACUGGCGAUCUUGAGUCCGGGAGAGGUGAGUGGAACUGCGAGUGUAGAGGUGAAAUUCGUAGAUAUUCGCAAGAACACCAGUGGCGAAGGCGGCUCACUGGCCCGGUACUGACGCUGAGGUGCGAAAGCGUGGGAGCA
rnacentral:rRNA from 1 species